AUAUUUUACUUGAUGUUCUGCACUACCCACCAAAGUUAUUAUUCUUCUCACUGUACAGAUGAGGAAACUGAGUUUCAGAGAGGUUAUAUAAACAGAAAACUUGACAUGGAAUCAAGGUCUCCUCAUUCCCUUCUUGACCCUUAUGAGAUGAAUAGACUACUUUAAGAGAAAACUUAAGGAAAAAAAGGUACACAGGUGUCCACCCUCUACCUUCAGAAGAUUUUAAAUUUAAGUGGAAAUUCAAGACAGACUCUUACAAAAAUAGUUUAAUAACAUUUUGAAAUUGGGAUAUAAUAGACAAAGCAACAUGUAAAUAUUUCAAACUAUUGAAAAUCGUUAAACUUGGAUUCUUUUUUGGAAGAAACCUGGGAAAGAGGGUGGAGAGGAUAUUUCAGACAUAAAAAAUGGAAGAAGUCACACAUCAGCAGUAGAAAUUCCCAUUUUAAUACUGAAAAUUUGACUCAUUCAUUACCUCCUACUUGCGGGAAGAAAUGGUUGAUGUUUUCAAGGAAACAGAGGAUGAAAGUAGAGUCCAAAGAGCCCUAGAGUUCCAUAUUUCCAAACAUUUGCAGAGCCCAGGGUCCAGGCUACCAUUCUCUUCCUCAAACACAGCCAAUUCUUUAGAAUCUGUUUUCUAAGGCAGCCACUGAAGAAAAAGUGGUAUUUUAAUCUCAAGUUCAAUAGGAUUGAAGCAGAAAUCCUUCCCAGAUCAUCCUCUGAAUAGGAUUUCAUUUGUUUUCACAUCACUGCUCUUAAAACAAAGAAUUACUUCUAAGAAUUAGUUCUGCACGAUUUUCUCUGAACCAUUUCCAAUGUCAUUUUUAGUACCUAGACUUCAGAAACAAACUUCAGAAAUGACAAGCAGAUCUAAACAAGACAGUGCCCAAUUACAACAGAGCUCAGCGGAACAACCAGGAGUUUGGUGGAGUCUGAGGAAUUUCCUGAUGGCUUGGAUGUGGACCAUCAGAGAGAAAGUGGAGUCAAGAACUUUGAGGAUCCAGAAACUGAAAAGACAUAGUUGUCAUUAAAUAAAUAGAACAGGCUUUGAAGAAGGUCAGGUGUCUUAUUUGGGCCAUGGUCAUUUUGAGCUCUCCAUUAGAUAUUCAAGAAAGCUUCCCAUUAGACAGUGGGAAAUAUGUUUGGCAUUUAGGACAGAGGUCUGGGCUGGAGAUAUAAAUUCUGGAAUUAAUAGGAUAUAGAUGGAAUUGAAAAUCAUAAGAUUGGAAAGAAUCAUCAAAGAUGUGACUGUAUAAAAAGGAGAAGUUCAAGAACAGAGUCCUGAGGAGACUCGGUAACAGGAAAAAAUGAGGACCCAGCAAAGGAGAUUGAGAAGUGGCCAGGAGGCAGGAAGAAAACGAGACAUUUCUUCAUCUUUUCAAUGAAUUUAUUACACGACACCAUUGAUUUUUUUUUUAACUAUGACCAAGAGAUACAUGAAGGGCAGCUAUAUUAAAAGGUGGACUGCAAGAGCAAACAAAGAGGAUGCAUUUUAGUCUCCUCAUCCCUACUUCAACCAGAGCUGGUCUGUGUUUUCUUGCUCCAAAUAAUAGGUUGUUGCAUGAGAUUUUGUUUAUUUUAAAAAUGGCAGGAGUGGGAGGAGGUAGAGUCUCAUUACCUCUGGAUAAUCUUUAAGGUUUGUAGACCCCUCUAAUUCUAAAGUUUACUUGAAUUUGCUCAAUUCUUUUAAAAAAAGCAUUUUUUCAUAAUUCUAGGUGCCACAGUCAUCUGAUAGACAUGGAGCAUUUGAAUCAUUUCUCUUAUCUGAGAUUAUUACCCAUUUGCUGUGGGAAUUAAGUCAUAUGAAAAUAGGAAGAGAAAAAUAACAACUGGCAUUGAGAAGUGGGAAGUCAGUUGAGUUUUAAAUAUAAAUCCAGGAAAUGUUUUAUUAAACAGCGAAGGCAUUUACCGGCUUAGACUGAAGAAUAAGCCUGCUCUAAACCCCACGAGCCUCAUGAGUGCUGCAUUUAUCUAAGAAAGCCACAGAAGCACAUUCCAAGAACGUUUCUUGCUGUAAUAUACUGACAGAGCAAAACUAACACAGGCUUUUACCCACAAGUAUUAUUAAUCAUAAUAAAUAAUAGUCACUGCUUAUCAAGCAUUAAACAUGUGCCAGAAACUGGGUUAAGGUACUUAUGAGUAUUCAUUCACUUAACCAUCACAGCAACCUCAAGGUAGAUACUCUCAGGCACUUGUUGAAAGAAUAUCAUGGCUGAAACUAAGUACAGUUAACUUGUCCAAGGUCACCUCACAAGGUAAGUGGUUGAAUAGGGGCUCUCUGACCCUAAGGCCAGUAUUUGUAACCAUGGCACUUUGAUUAAUCUACUGAACCUUAGUAAUGGAUGAAGUGGAUACUGUGGUAUCACCCAUCCCGAUCCCACUUUGUUCCUCCAGCUGCCAGGAGCGUAGGCUACUGAUGGCUCAGAACUGAGUGUCUCCUUGGACAGUCCCUUCUGCCAAAGGGAUCUGCCAAAGGUUACUUCCCCUCCUUGGAGAAGCUUGUAGCCAGUAAGGAAUCAUUCAAGGAGACAAAAGCCCAGCCUUUUUUGUCAGUCCAGAAGCCCUCUGAAGGGCUAUUUAGUUCCAACAUUCCCAAAUCAACUUCCCACUCUGCCCAAUCCUGCUUUCCUAGUUCCCUUCCUGAGAGCCCUCCCAUUAAAUUUCCCACACACAAAUCCCUGUCACAGGGUCUGUGUCCCAAGAACCCAAGGAAGACAUCGACAUCAGCAGCGAUUUGCUUCAGCCACUCAUUCUACUCCUUUAAUUACCAGCAAAUGUUUACUGAGUUCCAGGAACGUGUGAGGUUUCUUCUUUGAGUAUUGCCUGUUCAAAACAUGUACAGCUUUGUUUGGCUUGUCUUGUUUUAAAAUUUACAGGUAUUCUUUUACAUAUUCUGGAUACUAAUCUUAUGUUAGUUAAAUGCAUCACAUAUUUAUUCUUCCUGAUUGUGUCUUAUCUGUGUCUUUAGCUCUAUGGUAGCUUUUGUGAUUCAGAAGUCUUCAAUUUUGGACUGUAAAAUAUAUGGAUCUUCUAUGGGUCUUUCAUGCUUGUACUUAAUAUGUCUUGCCCAGAAAAGUCUUCUCUACUGAAAAUUAAAAAAAAA